rnacentral:lncRNA from 1 species
UAAGGACUCCGAUAUGAAAUGUGGAGAGAGGAAUCCGAGUCUACCAAGAUGUCUUCUGAACUCUACAUGCCUGCUGUGGCAUGCAUUCCUGCACACCACACACACACACACACCCCACAUUCAAACAUUCCCUAGUUGUCCCAGAUCUUUCCUCUUUGCCAUGGCAAGGUGGAUGAGGGGAAGAAUCAGCAACCCUUGUUCUUAGCUAACGGCAGGCCACUAGAGCUGACCAAGAAAUAAUGAGCAAAGAAUGAAAUACAGUACAUUACUAAUUGUUCCAAAACUUGGUGGGAAAUUGCCAUAUAACUCAAGAAGAUAAAUGUCUCUUGGAAUUGUUUUGCUUGGAGAAGCCAUAAAGAAGCAAAAUAGGAUGGCAUCAGACUACAGAGAGUGAAGACACGAUGUCUCAACAUACUUUGUUCUUGCCAAUAAGAUGCCGUCCUACAUGUAAUAUCAAAGUGUUGCACCAGAUUCACUUCAAGCCUUUUGGGUUUAUGUAGGAUGAUGGCAGAGGAAUUCCUGAGUUGACUAUUGUAUCUUACUAAAUUAGUAAGUUACUAAGGGAAGCACACUAUAAACAGCUCUAUAGCAUUGAAAUUUACUCUUACUGAUGAUAGAUGAUAUGUUAGAUAGAUUUAAGAUCAAAUAGU